rnacentral:misc_RNA from 1 species
GACGGGGGGGGCAAGUGUUCUUCGGAAUUAUUGGGCGUAAAGCGCGCGCAGGCGGCCUCUUAAGUCUGAUGUGAAAGCCCCCGGCUCAACCGGGGAGGGCCAUUGGAAACUGGGUGGCUUGAGUAUAGGAGAGAAGAGUGGAAUUCCACGUGUAGCGGUGAAAUGCGUAGAGAUGUGGAGGAACACCAGUGGCGAAGGCGACUCUUUGGCCUAUAACUGACGCUGAGGCGCGGAAGCGUGGGGAGCAAACAGG